GAUGAACGCUGGCGGCGUGCCUAAUACAUGCAAGUCGAGCGAACGGACGAGAAGCUUGCUUCUCUGAUGUUAGCGGCGGACGGGUGAGUAACACGUGGAUAACCUACCUAUAAGACUGGGAUAACUUCGGGAAACCGGAGCUAAUACCGGAUGAUAUUUUGAACCGCAUGGUUCAAAAGUGAAAGACGGUCUUGCUGUCACUUAUAGAUGGAUCCGCGCUGCAUUAGCUAGUUGGUAAGGUAACGGCUUACCAAGGCAACGAUGCAUAGCCGACCUGAGAGGGUGAUCGGCCACACUGGAACUGAGACACGGUCCAGACUCCUACGGGAGGCAGCAGUAGGGAAUCUUCCGCAAUGGGCGAAAGCCUGACGGAGCAACGCCGCGUGAGUGAUGAAGGUCUUCGGAUCGUAAAACUCUGUUAUUAGGGAAGAACAUAUGUUUAAGUAACUGUGCACAUCUUGACGGUACCUAACCAGAAAGCCACGGCUAACUACGUG
rnacentral:rRNA from 1 species